rnacentral:rRNA from 1 species
GACGAACCGAGCGAACGUUGUUCGGAAUCACUGGGCUUAAAGGGCGCGUAGGCGGGUGCUCAAGUCUGUGGUGAAAUCCUCCGGCUCAACCGGAGAACUGCCAUGGACACUGAGUGUCUCGAGGGUGGUAGGGGUAUGCGGAACUAUCGGUGGAGCGGUGAAAUGCGUUGAUAUCGAUAGGAACUCCGGUGGCGAAGGCGGCAUACUGGACCACUUCUGACGCUGAGGCGCGAAAGCCAGGGGAGCAAACGGG